UGCCCUAUACCUCAGUCGCUGUGUUAAUGAAACCUCAGCGUCUGAUGUCGUAAGGCACG
rnacentral:pre_miRNA from 1 species